GCUGCGCCAGCGCGUCCAGGCGCGCCGCGUCGUCGGCCAGGGGCCGGCGCAGGCCGACCUGGUCGCCCUUGGCCAGGCAGGUCGUAGCCGCCGUGCACCGCCA
rnacentral:tRNA from 1 species